GGGUUCAGCAACCAAACUUGACAUCUUUAAUUACCAGUCUCUCAUGAGUGGUACCAAAGCUCAUGUGAAGGUUGGUGAGUUUGUCUUCAAAUCUCACAGUGUUCAGCAUUUAUCUCUAAAUGAAGAACUUAUAAGUUGGGGUGAGCAGCACAAUCAGCAGGAGUCAAUUGCAAGAAGUCAUCAGCUUUUGGUCUAGGAAUAGAACAACCAAGUUAAUUGGCAAAAACUUUCAGCUUUAACCACCAGAAUAGCAAGAGAGAGUUGAAUAAUAAGAAGCCAUCAGUUUCUGGAUCCCAGAAGAACUCCUUCAUCUGUUUGCAGUCAAAGUUGUCCACUUGGACUUCGGAAAACACCUGUUGAAGGGAAACCAUUCUGUUGUUUUGAUUGUGUCCCUUGUCCAGAUGGAGAGAUUUCAAAUGAAACAGGUAUUUGCUUUUAUCUAGGCCACAACUUACUUUAAACAUAAUUGCCAGAUCUCGAGAAGGGCAAACUCAAGUUGGAACUUACAAUAUUGAGAGGAAUCAGCACUCAACCAUGGUCAAAAUCAAGCUCAGAAAAUGGAUGAAUGAGCAAAGUGGGUCAUAGUUUUUAACUCCAGAGACUGCUUGCACACUGUAAUAUUGGACACAGUACCAUCAUAAGAACAAGAUACAUCUACAGUAUUCAGAGUCUACCUUGUGUCUCAAUUAAUGCUUAUCUUUUGUGUAUGUAAACUUAUAUUAUAAAUUCUUUAGAAGCUUUUCAUCAGGUAAGCAAUUAUUUUGUGCCACUUUCCUUAAGAAAUAUUGGAAUAGUUGAAGCCACCUGUUUCUCUCCUUCAAGCAUGUUCCUUUCAUUGCAGUUCUCCAGAGGGAUGCCUCAUUGUAAGCCUUGUUUUGAUUUUUUUGCUCUGUCUUAAGUAUCAGUUUUCAUUUUUAGGAUAUACAUUGUCAAAAUUGUCAGUUGAAACUCAUGUAAUUAUAGCAUUCUUUAGGUAUUCUAUGAUUUACUGCCUUUCUUAAGCCUGCUUUAGGAGUUUACACAUAUAGUAGUCAAGAAUGUACCUAUUCCCAGUCUUUUCCACUGAUGAAUGUUAAAUGUUUGUAACCAAAAUUAUUUUAAUAAACACCAGAUUCUCUUCAUG
rnacentral:lncRNA from 1 species